rnacentral:snRNA from 1 species
AGAGAGAGUUAGACUCAAA